UGUCCUCCCCGCAUGAGAUCUUGUCAGGAUGAUGUGACUCACGCAGAGGGAUGGCGUCCAUUGCAAAGUAAAUCCACAAAAGGAGACGAGGCCAGAAAACGGAGAGAGCAGAUUUGCAUGAAGAUUUGGCAGCGCGCGCGCAAGCUACCUCACAAAAGAUGUUUUUUUGAAACAAACAAAGACAGCUAGUGUGUCCGAGGCCUCUUCUUCAACUGAGGCGCUUGUCACUUUGAGGGGCCAGCGUGGGACAAUCAGUGAUGAUGACGGGGGCACGGACCUGUUGUCAAGAAGCUGAACUCGGCUGUCAUUCAAACCUCUCUGCCCUAUGGCAUGACAAGGAUGGGCCUUAAUCUGCUGGGAGAGAGAGGACGGAUGAGAGAGUGUGAUGGAGUGAAGGGGGGGUAAAAUUAGACAGGAGGAAAUGGGGAGUUCUUGUCGAGGGGCAAGAAGGACAAGUGGUUUUGAACUAUAAUGCUUUCUUAGCCCAGCCAUGAAGUUAUUCUGUGUUCUUUCUUUGUGGGACUGUCAAUGCUUUUCAAUAAGCCUUUAUCAACAUUUAAAAUCAUGCCCUUCAAUUGCCAAAAGCCAUUUCUCAAUAUGCACUCUUGUCUGUUUUUUUUUCUUACAAAGUAGACUGAAAGGCAAUCCAAUUCAAAUCAGACUUUUUUUUUACCCCAAACCUGGGAAAGUUAGACCUAAUGGGCUCUAUUUUCAUUGAUAGUGCACAUGCACUCGGAGGAAAAAUUGGCGCAUCUUGAUUCCCACCUGUUACAUGAGCGAUCAGAUUGGAAGUCAGUCUCCAAAUGCCCACUUCACAGCCGUGAUCUGGCAACAUCCACCCAAGGAGGUCUACUUGCAUGAGCUCCAGCGAUUCUGUUUCUAUUCUGCUUUUGCAAUAUAAAAAGACACACUGAUUUUAAAGAGAAUGCGAUGAGCUGCUUCCUUUAGCCGGGAAGCUGUGCAUCUGUGUUCAUGCUCACAAUGGUGCAAAUGACAUUUCCAUGAUGUCAAUUAAUAUUGAAAAGUUUCUUUCAUGGAGCAAGCCUGAAAAGAGAAAAUGACAGAGCGAACUGAAAAAAAAAAAUGCUCUUUGCGCAUCCAACUUCUGUCCAAGUGCGAGGUAACUUGGACAUUGUUUGCAGCGGCAGGCUGUUGGGCUGGUUCGAAUUUGACUUUUCCAAGAGUGUGUCAAAAACAUGUAUUUUAAAACCCAAGAUUCUGUCAACCCAGACCACCAUCUCUCCUUGAACCAGUUUAUCUUCAGCCCAAUAGAAACACGGCAUUUAUAUUUCCCAAAUGGAGUUUUGUAACUUUGGCGAGGCUGGUGUUCAACAAAGCUUGUCAUAGACAGAUUGCAGUGGUUUAGGUGUGAUGGAAUGUAGUGUUUAAGGGGACAGAGAUGGGAUAAUAGGGACCAAAAUGACAAGUGAAAAGUUAGAAACAUUUUGUGGUGUGAGUUAUAUUUCUGUUUCAUUGACCUAGUUAUAGCAACGGCAAUUGGUUGCAAAUCAAUCAAUAGCCAAUAUCUUAUUUACCACCCCCCCCCAUCCCUCCCACACACACACAUGCACAGACACAUAUUUAUACAGUACAUGAUGCCCAUGGCAGGGCACCCAGCACCAAGCAAACUUGACUGAAUGGGCCAGCAAGGCCCAUUGAGUGAGU